UACGAGGGGGGCGAGCGUUGUUCGGAAUUAUUGGGCGUAAAGGGUGCGUAGGCGGUUUGGUAAGUCUUGUGUGAAAUCUACAGGCUCAACUUGUAGUCUGCACGAGAAACUGCCGGGCUUGAGUAUGGGAGAGGUGAGUGGAAUUCCCGGUGUAGUGGUGGAAUGCGUAGAUAUCGGGAGGAACACCAGUGGCGAAGGCGGCUUCCUGGACCGGUUCUGACACUGAGGAGCGAAAGCGUGGGGAGCGAUCCGG
rnacentral:rRNA from 1 species